rfam:Thermoanaerobacterales bacterium 50_218 S_scaffold_690, whole genome shotgun sequence.
UUGAUGGAGAGUUUGAUCCUGGCUCAGGACGAACGCUGGCGGCGUGCCUAACACAUGCAAGUCGAGCGGGGUAGCGGGUGCAGCUUAGCUGUACUUGUUACCCAGCGGCGGACGGGUGAGUAACACGUGAGCAACCUACCCGGAAGACCGGGAUAACACUGGGAAACUGGUGCUAAUACCGGAUACACUUCU